rnacentral:rRNA from 1 species
CACGUAGGGCGCGAGCGUUGUCCGGAAUUACUGGGCGUAAAGAGCUCGUAGGUGGUUUGUCGCGUUGUUCGUGAAAACUCACAGCUCAACUGUGGGCGUGCGGGCGAUACGGGCAGACUGGAGUACUGCAGGGGAGACUGGAAUUCCUGGUGUAGCGGUGGAAUGCGCAGAUAUCAGGAGGAACACCGGUGGCGAAGGCGGGUCUCUGGGCAGUAACUGACGCUGAGGAGCGAAAGCGUGGGGAGCGAACGG